rnacentral:lncRNA from 1 species
AUGGUCUUUUCCAAGAUGGUGGCUGACACAGUAAGUUUGAAUUUUUGUAGGGAUCAUGGGGAAAAGGAAGCGGACCACCCUCGACUAAAAAAGAUUAAAAUCCCCAAGUUUAAGCUAAAGGAAGAGAGAAGUAGGAAAAAAGAUCCACACCUCACAAAUGAAGGCAUUUUUACUUUCAUUCCAAAAUGCUGCACUCCUCUAGGGUGAUCUUGACCCAGAAUAGUCUGUUACCUGCAAGGCUGAAGAAAGUUUCUUGGUCAAAUUUGGUCCAGAGAGAUCAAAUGGUGCAAGAGCCUUUGCAGAACAGGCAAACAUUGCAUUUUAUACAUGUCAGCCCCUGUUUACACUAUUAACUCUUUGCACUCCUCUAGCAUGUGCCAGACAAAGGUUGAACGUGCUUACACUCCAAUGUUUUGCACUGCAAGACAUAAGUUUAGGAACCGAUAUUUUCAGUUUUUUUGGUAUUAUUGAGUGGAGGUCGCAU